rnacentral:misc_RNA from 1 species
AAAACAUGUUUGAUGCUAAAUUAUACGAAAAGUUUCAGUUACCUUUUUAUGUAACUGCGAGAGAGAUAUUAUCCGAUUAUGGACAUCUUAUUAAAUGGCCAAAAAAACAGACAAGCACUCAAGUUAUGAAAAUUUUAGAUGCUGGUUGUGGAGAAGGAACAUCAACAGUGAAAAUUUUCCAAGAAUUUGUUACCAAAAAUGUUGAAAAUUACCAAAUAGUCGGAGUUGAUUUUUCCGAAGAAAUGAUUUCAACAGCAAAAGAAAAAUACCAUUGCGAAAACAAUUGUGAAUUUGAACAAAUGGAUCUUUCACUAGAUACUUUUCCAGAUAAAUAUAUUGAACAUUUUGAUUUAAUUUAUUCAAUGUAUUGUUUGAAUUUCGUUGCAACAACCAAUUGGAUUAAAAACUUUUAUGAAAUGUUGAAACCAAGUGGACAAAUUUUCUUCGCUACAACAGUUACAGACUGGUUUAUGGGGAAAUUUUUAAUGGUAAACCAACGCGAAGAAUUCCAAAAAUAUCAAAACACUACAAACUGGAAAACCCCUUUUUUCACGAAAGCGAAUAUCGAUGAAUGGUUAAAAUCUCUUCUCAAGAACGCAGGGUUUAAAAACAUUACUAUACAACAUAAUGAAACCACAGCAAAAUUUUUAAAUAAAGAUUUUUUUUCUGCUUUUAUUAGAAGCUUUACAACCAGCCAUAGUAAUUUACCAACAAAUUUAGUUGAUGUUUACAUCAAUGAAGUUGUUGAAGAGUUUGUUAAUCAAUCUACAAAACUUUACGGUUCUUCAUCUGAAAUAAUUGCGAGAAUACCAAGAAUUUUAGUUUUCGCUGAAAAAUAAUGAAUAUUAAUAGCAAAUUGUAGAUAAGUAUUCCCAUAAUUAAUCACGUCACAACAUUCUAUUUUUAAACGUACUAUUAUGAGAUAAGGAAAUGUAAAAAGUGAAGUAAGGUCAUAAAACCAGUCAGUCCCAAUAUCUAAAUUUUAGAGUUAAUAUAAUAAAAAUGUACAAAGCCUGUUUGUACGAAAAAUUUCAUAGACCUGUUUAUGAAACUGCAAAAGAGGUUCUAUCAAACUAUGGAUACCUUUUAAAUUGGCCGAACGUAGAGAUGAAUCGUUCCGAAGUUAUGAAAAUUUUAGAUGCUGGAUGUGGAGAUGGAACAUCAACAGUUAAUAUUUUUCAAGAACUUGUAAAGAAAAAAGUAAAAAAUUAUCCAAUAACCGGAGUUGAUUUUUCGACUUAAAUGAUUUUAAACGCAAAAGAAAAAUAUAACAAUCAAAAAAAUUGUGAAUUUGAGUUAAUGGAUCUAUCCUUGGAGACGUUUCCGGGUAAAUUUAUGGAACAAUUCGAUUUAAUUUAUUCCAUGUAUUGUUUGCAUUGGGUUAAAACAACAAAUUGGAUUCAAAAUUUUUAUAAAAUGUUGAAGCCAAAUGGACAAAUUUUUGUAACUGUAAUAACAGAAAAUUUUCUUGUAAACACUUUCCAAAUGGUAAAUAAGCGCGAAAAAUGUUACCAAUUUAUCAAGAAGCUACUUAUUAGGAUAACUAUUUUUUUACAAACAAAAAUCUUGAUGAUUCGUUACAAUCUCUUCAUAAGAAAGAAUGGUAUAAAAAUAUUACCAUUAA